UACGUAGGGUGCAAGCGUUAAUCGGAAUUACUGGGCGUAAAGCGUGCGCAGGCGGUUAUGCAAGACAGAUGUGAAAUCCCCGGGCUCAACCUGGGAACUGCAUUUGUGACUGCAUAGCUAGAGUCCGUCAGAGGGGGGUGGAAUUCCACGUGUAGCAGUGAAAUGCGUAGAGAUGUGGAGGAACACCGAUGGCGAAGGCAGCCCCCUGGGAUGAGACUGACGCUCAUGUACGAAAGCGUGGGGAGCAAACAGG
rnacentral:rRNA from 1 species